rnacentral:tRNA from 1 species
GCCCCCGUGGCGGAAUGGUAGACGCGACCGACUCAAAAUCGGUUGUUGAGAGACGUGCCCGUUCGAGUCGGGCCGGGGGCA